rnacentral:lncRNA from 1 species
UAUUGAAAUAAUGAAAAAUAAUUCAUUAAAACUAUACUCUUUGUAAUAUGUUUUUUCUAAUUCGGGUCCAGACCAGGCCGUGUUUUACUCGAAAAGUCUAAAAACAAAAAAUCUUUGUAUUAUGCUUGUGUAGACCGAUCUCAACCCAAUCCUAUCUAUUUAGUUCCAAGUGAGGUGGUACACCUUCAUCAUGCAUAGUAAAGAAGAUUGUCAGCGUGUCUUUGACCAACGAGAUGAUCUGCCACGUUGGCAGUGUAUCAGAAGCUGCAAUCGCACAGUGAACACAUCCACCUCCCGUUACAGUUGCGCAUCACAUACGGAGAUACCAAUUCCAACUCACUCUCGUCACAGCUCGCCUCCACUAUCCAUAGCUGCUUCACCACUGCCCGCAUACUUCCCUCGUAGGUGACGGUUCAACGUUGCCUGACGCACCACCUUCACGUCGCACAGGUUGCAUCUCCAACAAGUCUUACCCUGCGGCGCCGCCGGCAGAGCUUUUAAUUCCUGCUGCUGCUGCGGCGGCGGUUUAAAUGCAUUAAUGAUGUUACUAUUAGCAUUUAGUUCUUCCUUGUUGCUGUUGUCCUCCUCCUCCUCGUGUAUUCCGGCAUCUGUCAAGAACCGCCGCGGAUCCCUGCAACCAGUCCAAAUUCAGAUGGGCUCAGCCAAUAAUCAAUACUACGUACGUACGUGCAAUUAGUUACGUGAGUGGAUAUAUGCUGAAAUGAAAGCACAACCACCAGGGGGAAGCUGCUGUUGUUGUUAGCAAAUGUAGGAAAGAAUUCCAACCAACCAAUAAUGAAUUCUUUGUUUCUAUCAUAUGGCUGGCUACCGUAAUUAUACCCUAGCUAUAAUUAAU